GACGAACGCUGGCGGCGUGCUUAACACAUGCAAGUCGAACGGAAAGGCCCUGCUUUUGUGGGGUGCUCGAGUGGCGAACGGGUGAGUAACACGUGAGUAACCUGCCCUGGGCUUUGUGAUAACUUCAGGAAACUGGGGCUAAUACCGGAUAGGAGCUCCUGCUGCAUGGUGGGGGUUGGAAAGUUUCGGCGGUUGGGGAUGGACCCGGGGCUUAUCAGCUUGUUGGGCGGGUAGUUGCUUACCAAGGCUUUGACGGAUAGUCGGCCUGGGAGGGUGAACGGCCACAUGGGGACUGAGAUACGGCCCAGACUCGUACGGGAGGCAGCAGUGGGGAAUAUUGCACAAUGGGCGGAAGCCUGAUGAAGCAACGCCGCGUGCGGGAUGAAGGCCUUCGGGUUGUAAACCGCUUUCGCCUGUGACGAUGCGUGAGUGACGGUAAUGGGUAAAGAAGCACCGGCUAACUACGUG
rnacentral:rRNA from 1 species